rnacentral:rRNA from 1 species
CUACGGGCCGCAUCAGUGAGGAAUAUUGCACAAUGGGGGGAACCCUGAUGCAGCAACGCCGCGUGGAGGAUGACGCAUUUCGGUGUGUAAACUCCUUUUAUAUGUCAAGAAAAUGACGGUAGCAUAUGAAUAAGCACCGGCUAACUCCGUGCCAGCAGCCGCGGUAAUACGGAGGGUGCAAGCGUUACUCGGAAUCACUGGGCGCAAAGGACGCGUAGGCGGGUUGGAAAGUCAGGUGUGAAAUCCUACAGCUUAACUGUAGAACUGCACUUGAAACUUCUAAUCUAGAGUAUGGGAGGGGGAGAUGGAAUUAGUGGUGUAGGGGUAAAAUCCGUAGAUAUCACUAGGAAUACCUAAAGCGAAGGCGAUCUCCUGGAACAUUACUGACGCUAAGGCGUGAAAGCGUGGGGAGCAAACAGGAUUAGAUACCCGGGUAGUC